CAGAGGUCCCAACCGUUGUUCGGAUUCAUUGGGCGUAAAGGGUGCGUAGGCGGUCGCGCAAGUCGGAUGUGAAAUCUUAGGGCUCAACCCUGAAACUGCAUUCGAUACUGCGUGGCUAGAGUACUGGAGAGGAGACUGGAAUUUACGGUGUAGCAGUGAAAUGCGUAGAUAUCGUAAGGAAGACCAGUGGCGAAGGCGAGUCUCUGGACAGUUACUGACGCUGAGGCACGAAGGCCAGGGGAGCAAACGGGAUUAGAUACCCCGGUAGUCCUGGCAGUAAACGGUGCACGUUUGGUGUAGGCGGAUUCGACCCGCCUGUGCCGGAGCUAACGCGUUAAACGUGCCGCCUGGGAAGUACGGUCGCAAGAUUA
rnacentral:rRNA from 1 species